rnacentral:rRNA from 1 species
UGCAGUCGAGCGGACGUUUCAGAGAGCUUGCUCUUUGAAACGUUAGCGGCGGACGGGUGAGUAACACGUGGGCAACCUGCCCUACAGAUGGGGAUAACUCCGGGAAACCGGGGCUAAUACCGAAUAAUCAGUUGGUCCGCAUGGACCAACUCUGAAAGACGGUUUCGGCUGUCACUGUAGGAUGGGCCCGCGGCGCAUUAGCUAGUUGGUGGGGUAAUGGCCUACCAAGGCGACGAUGCGUAGCCGACCUGAGAGGGUGAUCGGCCACACUGGGACUGAGACACGGCCCAGACUCCUACGGGAGGCAGCAGUAGGGAAUCUUCCACAAUGGACGAAAGUCUGAUGGAGCAAUGCCGCGUGAGCGAAGAAGGUUUUCGGAUCGUAAAGCUCUGUUGUAAGGGAAGAACACGUACGGGAGUAACUGCCCGUACCUUGACGGUACCUUAUUAGAAAGCCACGGCUAACUACGUGCCAGCAGCCGCGGUAAUACGUAGGUGGCAAGCGUUGUCCGGAAUUAUUGGGCGUAAAGCGCGCGCAGGCGGUCCUUUAAGUCUGAUGUGAAAGCCCACGGCUCAACCGUGGAGGGUCAUUGGAAACUGGGGGACUUGAGUACAGAAGAGGAAAGCGGAAUUCCACGUGUAGCGGUGAAAUGCGUAGAGAUGUGGAGGAACACCAGUGGCGAAGGCGGCUUUCUGGUCUGUAACUGACGCUGAGGCGCGAAAGCGUGGGG